rnacentral:pre_miRNA from 8 species
CCGUUCGGCGUCCCAGGCGGGGCGCUGCGGGACCGCCCUCGUGUCUGUGGCGGUGGGAUCCCGUGGCCGUGUUUUCCUGGUGGCCCGGCCGCG